CUACGGGCUGCAGCAGUGGGGAAUAUUGCACAAUGGAGGAAACUCUGGUGCAGCAACGCCGCGUGGAGGAUGACACUUUUCGGAGCGUAAACUCCUUUUAUAUAGGAAGAAGAUGACGGUACUAUAUGAAUAAGCGCCGGCUAACUCCGUGCCAGCAGCCGCGGUAAUACGGAGGGCGCAAGCGUUACUCGGAAUCACUGGGCGUAAAGAGCGUGUAGGCGGAUUAAAAGGUCAGAAGUGAAAUCCUAUAGCUUAACUAUAGAACUGCUUCUGAAACUCUUAAUCUAGAAUAUGGGAGAGGUAGAUGGAAUUUCUGGUGUAGGGGUAAGAUCCGUAGAGAUCAGAAGGAAUACCGAUUGCGAAGGCGAUCUACUAGAACAUUAUUGACGCUGAGACGCGAAAGCGCGGGGAGCAAACAGGAUUAGAUACCCUAGUAGUC
rnacentral:rRNA from 1 species